rnacentral:rRNA from 1 species
AGAGUUUGAUCCUGGCUCAGGAUGAACGCUAGCGACAGGCCUAACACAUGCAAGUCGAGGGGCAUCGGGGAGCGAAGCUUGCUUUGCUCCGCCGGCGACCGGCGCACGGGUGAGUAACGCGUAUGCAACUUGCCCGUUUCAGCGGGAUAACCCGGAGAAAUCCGGCCUAAUACCGCAUGUGGCCGAGGGAAGGCAUCUUCUUUCGGCCAAAGGAGGCGACUCCGGAGACGGAUGGGCAUGCGUGACAUUAGCUUGUUGGCGGGGUAACGGCCCACCAAGGCGACGAUGUCUAGGGGUUCUGAGAGGAAGGUCCCCCACACUGGUACUGAGACACGGACCAGACUCCUACGGGAGGCAGCAGUGAGGAAUAUUGGUCAAUGGGCGAGAGCCUGAACCAGCCAAGUCGCGUGAAGGAUGACGGCCCUACGGGUUGUAAACUUCUUUUGUCAGGGAGCAAUUGGGUCCACGCGUGGGCUUAGCGAGAGUACCUGAAGAAAAAGCAUCGGCUAACUCCGUGCCAGCAGCCGCGGUAAUACGGAGGAUGCGAGCGUUAUCCGGAUUUAUUGGGUUUAAAGGGUGCGUAGGCGGAAUAUCAAGUCAGCGGUAAAAAUUCGGGGCUCAACCCCGUCGUGCCGUUGAAACUGAUGUUCUUGAGUGGGCGAGAAGUAUGCGGAAUGCGUGGUGUAGCGGUGAAAUGCAUAGAUAUCACGCAGAACUCCGAUUGCGAAGGCAGCAUACCGGCGCCCAACUGACGCUGAAGCACGAAAGCGUGGGUAUCGAACAGGAUUAGAUACCCUGGUAGUCCACGCAGUAAACGAUGAAUGCUAAUUGUCCGGAGGGAUUGACCUCUGGGUGAUACAGCGAAAGCGUUAAGCAUUCCACCUGGGGAGUACGCCGGCAACGGUGAAACUCAAAGGAAUUGACGGGGGCCCGCACAAGCGGAGGAACAUGUGGUUUAAUUCGAUGAUACGCGAGGAACCUUACCCGGGCUCAAACGCAGGAGGAAUACAUUUGAAAGGGUGUAGCUCUACGGAGUCUUCUGCGAGGUGCUGCAUGGUUGUCGUCAGCUCGUGCCGUGAGGUGUCGGCUUAAGUGCCAUAACGAGCGCAACCCCUAUCGACAGUUGCCAACAGGUGAAGCUGGGAACUCUGUCGAGACUGCCGGCGCAAGCUGAGAGGAGGCGGGGAUGACGUCAAAUCAGCACGGCCCUUACGUCCGGGGCGACACACGUGUUACAAUGGCGGCCACAGCGGGAAGCCAGGCGGCGACGCCGAGCGGAACCCGAAAAGCCGUCUCAGUUCGGAUUGGAGUCUGCAACCCGACUCCACGAAGCUGGAUUCGCUAGUAAUCGCGCAUCAGCCACGGCGCGGUGAAUACGUUCCCGGGUCUUGCACACACCGCCCGUCA